rnacentral:rRNA from 1 species
GACGAACUGCCCAAACGUUGUUCGGAAUCACUGGGCUUAAAGGGCGCGUAGGCGGCAGAUCAAGUCAGGGGUGAAAUCCGGCAGCUCAACUGUCGAAGUGCCUUUGAUACUGAUUUGCUCGAGGGAUAUAGGGGUCUGUGGAACUUCUGGUGGAGCGGUGAAAUGCGUUGAUAUCAGAAGGAACGCCGGUGGCGAAAGCGACGGACUGGAUAUCAUCUGACGCUGAGGCGCGAAAGCUAGGGGAGCAAACGGG